rnacentral:rRNA from 1 species
UAGAGGAAGUAAAAGUCGUAACAAGGUUUCCGUAGGUGAACCUGCGGAAGGAUCAUUAUUGAAAUCAAAGGUCCAGGUUGUUGCUGGCCCUCCGGGGCAUGUGCACGCCUGCGAUCGCAUCCAUUUCAUCCCUGUGCACCUUUGCGUGGGUCUGUCGGCUUUGCGGCCUUCAGAUUCGCGUUUCUUAUAUACUCUUGUAUGUCUUAGAAUGUCUUACUUGCGUUAAUCGCAUCUUAUACAACUUUCAACAACGGAUCUCUUGGCUCUCGCAUCGAUGAAGAACGCAGCGAAAUGCGAUAAGUAAUGUGAAUUGCAGAAUUCAGUGAAUCAUCGAAUCUUUGAACGCACCUUGCGCCCUUUGGUAUUCCGAAGGGCACGCCUGUUUGAGUGUCGUGAAAUUCUCAACUCUAUCUUUCUUUUGAAAGACUGAGCUUGGAUGUGGAGGCUUGCCGGUCCCGCUCGGGUCGGCUCCUCUCGAAUGCAUUAGUGAGACCCCUUGCGGCCUCGGUGUGAUAAUUGUCUACGCCAUGGCUUAGCUAUCGUGGGAUUCGCUUCCAACCGUCUCUUCGGAGACACUUCAUCGAAACUUGACCUCAAAUCAGGCGGGACUACCCGCUGAACUUAAGCAUAUC